GGCGAACGCUGGCGGCGUGCUUAACACAUGCAAGUCGAACGGAAAGGCCUGCUUUCCCUUGUGGAUUGCGGGUACUCGAGUGGCGAACGGGUGAGUAACACGUGAGUGAUCUGCCCCCAACUUGGGUAUAAGCCUGGGAAACUGGGUCUAAUUCCCGGUAGGACUGCAGGGUGGUGCCUGUGGUGGAAAACGAUUUUCUAGUGGUUGGGGAUGAGCUCGCGGCCUAUCAGCUUGUUGGUGGGGUAAUGGCCUACCAAGGCGGCGACGGGUAGCCGGCCUGAGAGGGUGGACGGCCACAUUGGGACUGAGAUACGGCCCAGACUCCUACGGGAGGCAGCAGUGGGGAAUAUUGCACAAUGGGCGGAAGCCUGAUGCAGCGACGCCGCGUGGGGGAUGACGGCCUUCGGGUUGUAAACUCCUUUCGACCGCGAGGAAGCCACCUGGUUGGAAGGGUGGUGACGGUAGUGGUAGAAGAAGCACCGGCUAACUACGUG
rnacentral:rRNA from 1 species